AUUGAACGCUGGCGGCAGGCCUAACACAUGCAAGUCGAACGAGUGGCGGACGGGUGAGUAAUGUCUGGGAAACUGCCCGAUGGAGGGGGAUAACUACUGGAAACGGUAGCUAAUACCGCAUACCAUCGGAUGUUCCCAGAUGGGAUUCGCUAGUAGGUGGGGUAACGGCUCACCUAGGCUACGCUCCCUAGCUGGUCUGACAGGAUGACCAGCCACACUGGAACUGAGACACGGUCCAGAAUCCUACGGGAGGGAGUAGUGGAGAAUAUUGCACAAUGGACGCAAGCAUGAUGCAGCCAUGCCGCGUGUAUCAAGAAGGACUUCGGGUUGUAAAGUACGUUCAGCGGGGAGGCGGUACUCGCAGAAGAAGCACCGGCUAACUCCGUGCCAGCCGCCGCGGAAAUAC
rnacentral:rRNA from 1 species